rnacentral:rRNA from 1 species
GUAAGUUCCGACCUGCACGAAUGGUGUAACCAUGGCCACGCUGUCUCCACCCGAGACUCAGUGAAAUUGAAAUCGCGGUGAAGAUGCCGUGUACCCGCGGCUAGACGGAAAGACCCCGUGAACCUUUACUAUAGCUUCACAGUGAACUUUGAGCAUGUUUGUGUAGGAUAGCUGGGAGGCUUUGAAGUGGGAACGCCAGUUCUCAUGGAGCCAACCUUGAAAUACCAGCCUGACAUGUUUGAGGUUCUAACUUGGUCCCCUUAUCGGGGAUGAGGACACUGUGUGGUGGGUAGUUUGACUGGGGCGGUCUCCUCCCAAAGAGUAACGGAGGAGUACGAAGGUACACUCACCAUGGUCGGAAAUCAUGGAGUGCGUAUAAAGGCAGAAGUGUGCUUGACUGCGAGCCCGACGGGGCGAGCAGGGUCGAAAGACGGUCUUAGUGAUCCGGUGGUUCUGAAUGGAAGGGCCAUCGCUCAACGGAUAAAAGGUACUCCGGGGAUAACAGGCUGAUACCGCCCAAGAGUUCACAUCGACGGCGGUGUUUGGCACCUCGAUGUCGGCUCAUCACAUCCUGGGGCUGAAGCCGGUCCCAAGGGUAUGGCUGUUCGCCAUUUAAAGUGGUACGCGAGCUGGGUUUAGAACGUCGUGAGACAGUUCGGUCCCUAUCUGCCGUGGGUGUAGGAUACUUGAGAGGAGUUGCCCCUAGUACGAGAGGACCGGGGUGAACGAUCCACUGGUGGACCUGUUGUCGUGCCAACGGCAGUGCAGGGUAGCUAUGAUCGGACAGGAUAACCGCUGAAGGCAUCUAAGCGGGAAGCCCCCCUCAAAACAAGGUAUCCCUGAGGACCGUGGUAGACCACCACGUCGAUAGGCCGGAGAUGUAAGCGCAGCAAUGCGUUCAGUUGACCGGUACUAAUUGUCCGAUAGGCUUGAU